rnacentral:rRNA from 1 species
GUGUCAGCAGCCGCGGUAAUACGGAGGGGGCAAGCGUUGUUCGGAAUUAUUGGGCGUAAAGGGCGCGUAGGCGGCGAGGUAAGUCAGACGUGAAAUCCCCCGGCUUAACCGGGGAAUUGCGUCUGAUACUCCCUUGCUUGAGGCCAGGAGAGGAGAGUGGAAUUCCCAGUGUAGCGGUGAAAUGCGUAGAUAUUGGGAGGAACACCGGUGGCGAAGGCGGCUCUCUGGACUGGUUCUGACGCUGAGGCGCGAAAGCUAGGGGAGCAAACAGGAUUAGAAACCCGCGUAGUCC